rnacentral:sRNA from 1 species
GAGAGGGCGUGGCGAGGGAAGCAGAGGAGCGCAACAGAGGAAGUCCACCUGGGAUGAUAUCCAACAACUCAUGAGAGUGUUCUUCAUGAUCAAAGAGAGAGAGAGGAUAGUACAGGAAGCCAGAAAAAAAAGUCCCAGGGUUACCAUUGAUUACCAGGCUAUCAUCGACAGCAGAUUUGACUAGACCUGACUGGGACUUAAUAUGGCAGGAGGUAUCUUCAGCACCCGUCCUGGACAAAUGACACCAACGUGGGGCAUAAGAGGAGUUUCAAGUUUCCUCACAAGAAAAGUGAUAAAGUGUCUUCUGCCACCCAAGAGAUUUCACUAACGAAGGCGACUAGCUGUGGAGGAGUAAACAACCUAUGCAGUAAAAAAUUAACUCAUAAAAAACAUCGCUCCUCAGAUGAGCUUUCCAGUCACGUGCUGGGGACCGAACCCAGGG